GUUAAGCGGCGUACACGGUGGAUGCCUAGGCAGUCAGAGGCCGAUGAAGGACGUGCUAAUCUGCGAAAAGCGUCGGUAAGCUGAUAUGAAGCGUUAUAGCCGGCGAUGUCCGAAUGGGAAAACCCAGUGCAUUAAUGCACUAUCGUUUGAUGAAUUCAUAGUCAAACGAGGCGAACCGGGGGAACUGAAACAUCUCAGUACCCCGAGGAAAAGAAAUCAACCGAGAUUCCCCUAGUAGCGGCGAGCGAACGGGGAGUAGCCCAAACCAACAAGCUUGCUUGUUGGGGUUGUAGGACACUCUAUACGGAGUCAGCAUCGAUAUUAGCAUCAGGAGAAGGGUCUGGAAAGGCCAGCCAUAAAGGGUGAUAGCCCCGUAUCCGAAGGUGUUAGUAUCGUGAGCUCGAAGAGUAGGGCGGGACACGUGUUAUCCUGUCUGAAUAAGGGGGGACCAUCCUCCAAGGCUAAAUACUCCUGACUGACCGAUAGUGAACCAGUACCGUGAGGGAAAGGCGAAAAGAACCCCGGCGGAAGGGGAGUGAAAGAGAACCUGAAACCGUGUACGUACAAGCAGUGGGAGCCCCAUAAUGGGUGAUGGCGUGCCUUUUGUAUAAUGGGUCAGCGAGUUAUGAUUUGAUGCAAGGUUAAGCAGCUAAUGUGGAGCCGUAGCGAAAGCGAGUCUGAAUAGGGCGUUUAGUAUUUGGUCGUAGACCCGAAACCAGGUGAUCUACCCUUGGUCAGGUUGAAGUUCAGGUAACACUGAAUGGAGGACCGAACCGACUUACGUUGAAAAGUGAGCGGAUGAACUGAGGGUAGCGGAGAAAUUCCAAUCGAACUUGGAGAUAGCUGGUUCUCUCCGAAAUAGCUUUAGGGCUAGCCUCAAGUGAUGAUUAUUGGAGGUAGAGCACUGUUUGGACGAGGGGCCCUUCUCGGGUUACCGAAUUCAGACAAACUCCGAAUGCCAAUCAAUUUAACUUGGGAGUCAGAACAUGGGUGAUAAGGUCCGUGUUCGAAAGGGAAACAGCCCAGACCACCAGCUAAGGUCCCAAAAUCUAUGUUAAGUGGAAAAGGAUGUGGCGUUGCCCAGACAACUAGGAUGUUGGCUUAGAAGCAGCCAUCAUUUAAAGAGUGCGUAAUAGCUCACUAGUCGAGUGACACUGCGCCGAAAAUGUACCGGGGCUAAACCUAUUACCGAAGCUGUGGAUUGUCCGUAGGACAAUGGUAGGAGAGCGUUCUAAGCGCGUCGAAGCAUGAUCGCAAGGACAUGUGGAGCGCUUAGAAGUGAGAAUGCCGGUGUGAGUAGCGAAAGACGGGUGAGAAUCCCGUCCACCGAUUGACUAAGGUUUCCAGAGGAAGGCUCGUCCGCUCUGGGUUAGUCGGCUCCUAAGCUGAGGCCGACAGGCGUAGGCGAUGGAUAACAGGUUGAUAUUCCUGUACCACCUAGGAUCGUUUUACUCGAAGUGGGGACGGAGAAGGCUAGGCUAUCCGGGCGACUGGAUUGCCCGUUUAAGCGGUAGGACUGGGUGUGAGGCAAAUCCGUCACUCAUAACAUGAGGCUGUGAUGACGAGACCAAGGUGGUUCCUCGAGUAGUUGAUGCCACACUUCCAGGAAAAGCCGCUAGAUAGGUAAUCCUUAAUCGUACCCCAAACCGACACAGGUGGUUAGGUAGAGAAUACUCAGGCGCUUGAGAGAACUCGGGUGAAGGAACUAGGCAAAAUGGUGCCGUAACUUCGGGAGAAGGCACGCUCGUUAGGGUUAACGCCCAGAAGAGCCGCAGUGAAUAGGCUCAAGCGACUGUUUAUCAAAAACACAGGUCUCUGCUAAACCGUAAGGUGAUGUAUAGGGGGUGACGCCUGCCCGGUGCUGGAAGGUUAAGAGGGGUAGUAAGCUUCUGCGAAGCUCUUGAUCGAAGCCCCAGUAAACGGCGGCCGUAACUAUAACGGUCCUAAGGUAGCGAAAUUCCUUGUCGGGUAAGUUCCGACCUGCACGAAUGGCGUAAUGAUUUGGGCACUGUCUCCACCCGAGACUCAGUGAAAUCAUAGAACCUGUGAAGAUGCAGUGUACCCGCGGCAAGACGGAAAGACCCCGUGAACCUUUACUAUAGCUUGACACUGAAAUUGAGCCUUGAUUGUACAGGAUAGGUGGGAGGCUAAGAAGUGUGGACGCCAGCUUACGUGGAGCCAACGUUGAAAUACCACCCUAGCUGUGUUUGAUUUCUAACCCGCACCACUUAUCCGGGUGAGAGACAGUGUCUGGUGGGUAGUUUGACUGGGGCGGUCUCCUCCCAAAGUGUAACGGAGGAGCACGAAGGUUGGCUAAUCACGGUCGGACAUCGUGCAUAGAGUGCAAAGGCAUAAGCCAGCUUGACUGCGAGCGUGACGGCGCGAGCAGGUACGAAAGUAGGUCUUAGUGAUCCGGUGGUUCUGAAUGGAAGGGCCAUCGCUCAACGGAUAAAAGGUACUCCGGGGAUAACAGGCUGAUACCGCCCAAGAGUUCAUAUCGACGGCGGUGUUUGGCACCUCGAUGUCGGCUCAUCACAUCCUGGGGCUGAAGUAGGUCCCAAGGGUAUGGCUGUUCGCCAUUUAAAGUGGUACGCGAGCUGGGUUUAGAACGUCGUGAGACAGUUCGGUCCCUAUCCGUCGUGGGCGUAGGAAAUUUGAGAGGAGCUGUCCUUAGUACGAGAGGACCGGAGUGGACGCACCACUGGUGUACAGGUUGUCAUGCCAAUGGCAUCGCCUGGUAGCUAAGUGCGGAAGAGAUAACCGCUGAAAGCAUCUAAGCGGGAAACUUGCCUCAAGAUGAGUCUUCCCUGACAGUAAUGUCCUAUAAGGGGUGUUCGAGACGAGGACGUAGAUAGGCUGGGUGUGUAAGCGUAGCGAUACGUUGAGCUAACCAGUACUAAUGACCCGAGAGGCUUAACC
rnacentral:rRNA from 1 species